ACUUCGUGGUUUGGACAUUGCAUUAUUUUUCCAUUGAAUCUUUCUCAUACCUCAUAAAAAGGUUCUCUAUCUAAUUAGCUAAAGUUAGUGAUCUCACCCCUCAAUU
rfam:Capsicum annuum cultivar Zunla-1 chromosome 1, whole genome shotgun sequence